AUGGAUAAUCCUCCCAACGUUAAGUUCUCUUUCUUGUGCUGGAAUGUGCAAGGGCUCGGGGAGGUCGACAAGUGCGACGUGGUCCGAGAUUCUAUUAACGCGGUGGAUCCCGUUGUCGCCUGUAUUCAGGAAAGCAAAUUGUCGGAGUUGUCUAUGUCUAAAGCUCGUUCGUUCCUGCCUUCUCGCCUUGACACUUACGUGGCCAAGGACGCUGAGGGGAGUCGAGGUGGGAUUGUGACGGCUUGGAACAGCCGUGUCUUCACGCUCACUUCCUCUUCGACGUCUCGCUUCUCCCUCACUUCUACCCUUGCCUCUACGACGAGCGCUCUCUCGUUCACGAUCACCAACAUAUACGCGCCCGCGGAUCACGCCUUGACGGCUGCUUUCGUUGAUGAUCUCAUCACGGUUGCCGGAGGCGUCUCGGGUCCGUGGCUUCUGCUUGGGGAUUUCAACCUGAUCUGGUUCCCUCAUGAGAAGAACAAUGAUCGGUUCGACGCCCCCCGUGCGGCGACUUUCAACUCUCUGAUCAACACCCUUGCUCUCCACGAGCUGGCUCUGACUGAUCGUCGUUUUACCUGGACGAACAAGCGCGACCCCCCCAAUCUGGCUCGCCUGGACCGGGUCUUCUUUGACUCCGCCUGGGACGCGGCCUUCCCAGACUUGGCUUUGUCGUCCCGCCCCCGGCCUACCUCGGAUCACGUCCCCCUCGUGGUGGAGGCGGCAACCACUAUUCCUGCUUCCUCGCGUUUCUUCUUUGAGAGCGUCUGGCUCCGCAAUCCUCAAUUCCUUCCCUUUACUCUCCCCUCCUGGUCUAGCGUUGGUGACGAGCGGUGUGCUGCGGGGUCCCUGGCGGCUCGCAAGAAACGGUUCAGGGGCUCGGCCAAGGUUUGGAAAAGAUUACACAAAUUUAUUCCUACCUUUGAUAAUGACUGCAAAUUCGUGAUUGACUUGGUGGACUUCUGGGAAGAAUGUCGCAUUUUGACCUCUGAUGAGUUUCAGCUCCGAGGCGACUCCAGGCUAGCGCUUGCCGACUCGAUCCGGCGCCAGAGCUCGUACUGGAAGCUGCGUGGGAAGUGCAGGGCGGUCUGCGAAGGCGACGAGAACACCAGUUUCUUCCACGCGAGCGCCUCCAACCGUCGCCGAGCCAACGUGAUCCGCGCCCUGGACGUGGACGGGGUGAUGGUGCUCGACCACGCUGGGAAGGCGGAGGCGCUGCUCUCCUUCUACUCCGAGCUGCUGGGGAGGGCGCGUCCCUCCGUCUGGCGGUUCGACCUGGCCGGCCUCUACCGUGACGCCGCUCAGGUUGACGCGGCUGCCCUGGAGGCUCUGUUCUCGCCUGACGAGAUAAAGGACGCGGCCGGGCUACUCGAUCGGGCCAGCGCGCCUGGGCCGGACGGCCUAGGCCCCGCCUUCUACCAGGCCGCCUGGGACACCGUCUCCGGUGACCUCCGCCUCUUCGCCGCGGUACACGACGGGACCGCGAAUCUCGAUGCCAUCAACCGGGCGUACAUCGCGCUGCUGCCCAAGGCCGUCGGUGUGCCCACGCCCGGGGGCUUCCGGCCCGUCUCCCUCCAAAACGGGGACGUCAAGAUCCUGUGCCGCGGGCUCACCUCGAGACUGCAGAAGCAGAUCGGGAGCAUUAUCGACGUCGACCAGUCGGGGUUCCUGGCGGGGAGAAGCAUCUCCGAAAACUUCGUGUACGCC
rnacentral:rRNA from 1 species